rnacentral:rRNA from 1 species
UACGUAGGGCGCAAGCGUUGUCCGGAAUUAUUGGGCGUAAAGAGCUCGUAGGCGGUGUGUCGCGUCGGAUGUGAAAGCCCGGGGCUUAACCCCGGGUCUGCAUUCGAUACGGGCAGACUGGAGUGUGGUAGGGGAGAUCGGAAUUCCUGGUGUAGCGGUGAAAUGCGCAGAUAUCAGGAGGAACACCGGUGGCGAAGGCGGAUCUCUGGGCCAUUACUGACGUGAGGAGCGAAAGCGUGGGGAGCGAACAGG